GACGAACGCUGGCGGCGUGCUUAACACAUGCAAGUCGAACGGAAAGGCCCUGCUUUUGUGGGGUGCUCGAGUGGCGAACGGGUGAGUAACACGUGAGUAACCUGCCCUUGACUUUGGGAUAACUUCAGGAAACUGGGGCUAAUACCGGAUAGGAGCUCCUGCUGCAUGGUGGGGGUUGGAAAGUUUCGGCGGUUGGGGAUGGACUCGCGGCUUAUCAGCUUGUUGGUGGGGUAGUGGCUUACCAAGGCUUUGACGGGUAGCCGGCCUGCGAGGGUGACCGGCCACAUUGGGACUGGGAUACGGCCCAGACUCCUACGGGAGGCAGCAGUGGGGAAUAUUGCACAAUGGGCGGAAGCCUGAUGCAGCAACGCCGCGUGCGGGAUGACGGCCUUCGGGUUGUAAACCGCUUUCGCCUGUGACGAAGCGUGAGUGACGGUAACGGGUAAAGAAGCACCGGCUAACUACGUG
rnacentral:rRNA from 1 species